ACGAACGCUGGCGGCGUGCUUAACACAUGCAAGUCGAACGGUGAAGCGCCUUCCUUUUUGGUGGGUGUGGAUGAGUGGCGAACGGGUGAGUAACACGUGAGUAACCCGCCCCCUUCUUCUGGAUAACCGCAUGAAAGUGUGGCUAAUACGGGAUAUUCUGGGUCUGUCGCAUGAUGGGUCUGGGAAAGAUAUUGUUUCGGUGGGGGAUGGGCUCGCGGCCUAUCAGCUUGUUGGUGGGGUGAUGGCCUACCAAGGCGGUGACGGGUAGCCGGCCUGAGAGGGUGGACGGUCACACUGGGACUGGGACACGGCCCAGACUCCUACGGGAGGCAGCAGUGGGGAAUAUUGCACAAUGGGCGCAAGCCUGAUGCAGCGACGCCGCGUGAGGGAUGGAGGCCUUCGGGUUGUGAACCUCUUUCGCCAGUGAAGCAGGCCUGCCUCGUUUGUGGGUGGGUUGACGGUAGCUGGAUAAGAAGCGCCGGCUAACUACGU
rnacentral:rRNA from 1 species